GGGUUGUGAGGUUAAGCGACUAAGCGUACACGGUGGAUGCCCUGGCAGUCAGAGGCGAUGAAGGACGUGCUAAUCUGCGAUAAGCGUCGGUAAGGUGAUAUGAACCGUUAUAACCGGCGAUUUCCGAAUGGGGAAACCCAGUGUGAUUCGUCACACUAUCAUUAACUGAAUCCAUAGGUUAAUGAGGCGAACCGGGGGAACUGAAACAUCUAAGUACCCCGAGGAAAAGAAAUCAACCGAGAUUCCCCCAGUAGCGGCGAGCGAACGGGGAGCAGCCCAGAGCCUGAAUCAGUGUGUGUGUUAGUGGAAGCGUCUGGAAAGGCGCGCGAUACAGGGUGACAGCCCCGUACACAAAAAUGCACAUGCUGUGAGCUCGAUGAGUAGGGCGGGACACGUGGUAUCCUGUCUGAAUAUGG
rnacentral:rRNA from 2 species